AGCGAACGCUGGCGGCAGGCCUAACACAUGCAAGUCGAGCGGCCGUAGCAAUACGGCAGCGGCAGACGGGAUAGUAACACGUGGGAACGUACCCUUCGGUUCGGAAUAACUCAGGGAAACUUGAGCUAAUACCGGAUACGUCCGAGAGGAGAAAGAUUUAUCGCCGAGGGAUCGGCCCGCGUCUGAUUAGCUUGUUGGUGAGGUAACGGCUCACCAAGGCAACGACGGGUAGCUGGUCGAGAGGAUGGCCAGCCACAUUGGGACUGAGACACGGCCCAGACUCCUACGGGAGGCAGCAGUGGGGAAUAUUGCGCAAUGGGCGAAAGCCUGACGCAGCGACGCCGCGUGUGGGAUGACGGUCUUCGGAUUGUAAACCACUGUCGGGAGGGACGAAUACGCCGCAAGGCGGGUGACGGUACCUCCAAAGGAAGCACCGGCUAAC
rnacentral:rRNA from 1 species